GAUGAACGCUGGCGGCGUGCCUAAUACAUGCAAGUAGAACGCUGAAGGAGGAGCUUGCUCUUCUGGAUGAGUUGCGCACGGGUGAGUAACGCGUAGGUAACCUGCCUGGUAGCGGGGGAUAACUAUUGGAAACGAUAGCUAAUACCGCAUGACAACAGUUAUUGCAUGAUAACUGUUUAAAAGGGGCAACUGCUCCACUACCAGAUGGACCUGCGUUGUAUUAGCUAGUUGGUGAGGUAACGGCUCACCAAGGCGACGAUACAUAGCCGACCUGAGAGGGUGAUCGGCCACACUGGGACUGAGACACGGCCCAGACUCCUACGGGAGGCAGCAGUAGGGAAUCUUCGGCAAUGGACGGAAGUCUGACCGAGCAACGCCGCGUGAGUGAAGAAGGUUUUCGGAUCGUAAAGCUCUGUUGUAAGAGAAGAACGAGUGUGAGAGUGGAAAGUUCACACUGUGACGGUAUCUUACCAGAAAGGGACGGCUAACUACGUG
rnacentral:rRNA from 1 species